CAAGUUAUCUAAUAGAUAGGUUUUCAGUUACGUUGAGAUAUUGAUUGUGCAAUUCAAUCUAACUUGA
rnacentral:tRNA from 1 species